UAGCUAGUUGGUGAGGUAAAGGCUUACCAAGGCGACGAUCUGUAGCGGGUCUGAGAGGAUGAUCCGCCACACUGGAACUGAGACACGGUCCAGACUCCUACGGGAGGCAGCAGUGGGGAAUUUUGGACAAUGGGGGCAACCCUGAUCCAGCCAUGCCGCGUGAGUGAAGAAGGCCUUCGGGUUGUAAAGCUCUUUCAGCCGGGAAGAAAUCGCAUGGGCCAAUACCCUGUGUGGAUGACGGUACCGGAAUAAGAAGCACCGGCUAACUACGUGCCAGCAGCCGCGGUAAUACGUAGGGUGCGAGCGUUAAUCGGAAUUACUGGGCGUAAAGCGUGCGCAGGCGGUUUUGUAAGACAGGCGUGAAAUCCCCGGGCUUAACCUGGGAACUGCGUUUGUGACUGCAAGGCUAGAGUACGGCAGAGGGGGGUGGAAUUCCACGUGUAGCAGUGAAAUGCGUAGAGAUGUGGAGGAACACCAAUGGCGAAGGCAGCCCCCUGGGUCGAUACUGACGCUCAUGCACGAAAGCGUGGGUAGCAAACAGGAUUAGAUACCCUGGUAGUCCACGCCCUAAACUAUGUCAACUAGGUGUUGGGUGGGUAAAACCAUUUAGUACCGUAGCUAACGCGUGAAGUUGACCGCCUGGGGAGUACGGCCGCAAGGUUAAAACUCAAAGGAAUUGACGGGGACCCGCACAAGCGGUGGAUGAUGUGGAUUAAUUCGAUGCAACGCGAAAAACCUUACCUACCCUUGACAUGCCAGGAACUUGCCAGAGAUGGCUUGGUGCCCGAAAGGGAGCCUGGACACAGGUGCUGCAUGGCUGUCGUCAGCUCGUGUCGUGAGAUGUUGGGUUAAGUCCCGCAACGAGCGCAACCCUUGUCGUUAAUUGCCAUCAUUUAGUUGGGCACUUUAACGAGACUGCCGGUGACAAACCGGAGGAAGGUGGGGAUGACGUCAAGUCCUCAUGGCCCUUAUGGGUAGGGCUUCACACGUCAUACAAUGGUCGGUACAAAGGGUUGCCAAGCCGCGAGGCGGAGCCAAUCCCAGAAAGCCGAUCGUAGUCCGGAUUGCAGGCUGCAACUCGCCUGCAUGAAGUCGGAAUCGCUAGUAAUCGUGGAUCAGCAUGUCACGGUGAAUACGUUCCCGGGUCUUGUACACACCGCCCGUCACACCAUGGGAGCGGGUUCCGCCAGAAGUAGGUAGCCUAACCGCAAGGGGGGCGCUUACCACGGCGGGGUUCGUGACUGGGGUGAAGUCGUAACAAGGUAGCCGUAGGGGAACCUGCGGCUG
rnacentral:rRNA from 1 species